rnacentral:misc_RNA from 1 species
GAAAUGCGAUACGUAGUGCGAAUUGCAGAAUUCAGUGAAUCAUCAAAUCUUUGAACGCAUCUUGCGCUCUUGGGUAUCCCUAAGAGCAUGCCUCUUUGAGUAUCGUUUCAACCCAACCUCGACUGCGUGCUGUGGAUUUAAAAACCCACAGUAUUCGUUCAUGUCGGUAAAUGAUCGUCUCAUUCGCAGUGAGUCGAUUUAAAUUCUAUGGUGCUUAUCAUUCGAUCCCUUGCCAUACACUUAAAACAUGUAUGGGUGGCUCGAUGUUUGAUAAAGGUUUUAUUACCCCAUCUACAUCGAUUGUCCAUGGAACGAAUUUUGCAUAAGUGCAAAGGAAAAAUCAAUUUAAUUUUUGAACUUGAUCUCAGAUGAAGCAAGAAAACCCGCCGAAUUUAA